CUCAGAGGGACUUCUGCUCCGAAGCUCUGAGCACCUCCAAGAUGUGAGCAUGAGGUUUUAUAGGACAAUUCACCUCCUUAUGCUUGUAUAGGGGCAGGCUACUUCUACCUCCCAACUCUUGGUACCCACUGGCUCUGAGUGUCCAGCUGAGCCCCGAGGGAAGUAUCCUGUUCUUCUGCACCCUGAGUUCCCUCAAGUGCACAGUUGGGGGUAGCUGCAGAGGUCAGGCAGCCUGCUUCUCUGCAUCUUGAGUUCCCUCUGCUCACUGUGGGACGUAGGUGGCAGUAGUGGCUGAUGACUUGAUGGCCACAGCAUUCUUUGUUUACUGAUAUGGUUGGCAAUAUUUUUCAUUCACACUAUCUAGCUGAAAAAGUAAAGGAAGGGUGUUCUGAGUGAAAGGAAUAGCAUAUUUUAAGACCCAGAGGAAAAAGAGCAUGGGGCAUUUCUGAGAUGGAGGCAUUCACUGUGGUGAAGAAAGAGUGCAUGGAAGGUAGGGAGCAUUGAGUCUGAAUGACGCACAGGACUGAUUGUGAAUGGGUAUAUGAUUCAUUUAAAUAAUUUUAGGUUUUGCGUUAAAAUGCAGUAGGAAGCCACUGUAAUGUUUUAGGUAAUGACAAGAUCAGAUUUGCAUUUUAAAUAGAUCUCUUUAGCUUAGUUUGUGGAAAAUGGAUGGAAGGAGCAAGAGCAGAUUCAGAGAAAUCAGUUAAGAAGCUCUAGUGGUAGCAAAGGUAAGAAGAUGGUGGUUUGAAAGAGGUGGGGAUUCAUGUAUUCCCUCAACAAAUAUUUAUUGAAUAUUUGCAAGAUCUUGACAGAAAACGUCUGGCACAUUCAAAUUAUGAAAGAUGUUGGUUGGAUUUACAAAAAUGAACAAAUGACAUCAGGACUAGCAAUACUUGUGCCAUUACCACAUUUAGGCUUGAAGGGGCAAGGGUGGAGAGCAAUUCCUGGAAGCUGGAGAGGGGAGCUGUGUGGUGGGAUUGAUACGCGGGCAGGGAGAGAUAUGAGGAGAGGGGGGUUGAUGCACAGGAAAGACCUGGGGAACCAGUAACCAAACUAAGUCUCCUUUCUCCUUAACACAAGAAAUGAACAAAACCAUACCAAGUCCUGGAUUCACAGAGUUUAUAUUCUAGGAAAGCUAUUUUAAAUAAGGUAGGCACACCCCUGAUGAUAUACAGUGACUUUGCAGGAGGUACACAUGUAUAUAUAAUUUUAAGGUAGUUUCGGCCAGGCCCCGAACUUCCAUGUGUCUCUUUUCUAAAAUUGAUCUGGCAAGAACAUGUCUGUAGUAGAAAUAGCAUAUUGCUGCUUCUUCUCCACGUCACUUUCACACUGACUUUUCUCUCAUUUAAAAAAAUUUAUCUAUUUCUCUGUUUAUUUAUUUUUGAAUUAGAGUUUUAUUUAUUUUUUAUUGAAAUAUAGCUGAUAUGUAAUAUUAUGUUAGUUUUAGAUAUACAGCAUAGUGAUUUGACAUUUAAAUACAUUAUGAAGUGAUCACCAUGAUAAUUCUAGUAAUCAUAUGUUCGCAUACAAAGUUAUGUACUAUUGACAAUAUUGUUGUAGUACUAUUGACAAUACUGUUUAUGCUGUAUAAUACUUCCCUGUUACUUAUUUACUUUCUAACUGGAAGUUUAUACUUCUUAAUUCCUUUUACCUAUUUUUCCAUCCCCC